rnacentral:rRNA from 1 species
GAUGAACGCUAGCUACAGGCUUAACACAUGCAAGUCGAGGGGCAGCAUUUCAGUUUGCUUGCAAACUGGAGAUGGCGACCGGCGCACGGGUGAGUAACACGUAUCCAACCUGCCGAUAACUCGGGGAUAGCCUUUCGAAAGAAAGAUUAAUACCCGAUGGUAUAAUCAGACCGCAUGGUCUUGUUAUUAAAGAAUUUCGGUUAUCGAUGGGGAUGCGUUCCAUUAGGCAGUUAGUGAGGUAACGGCUCACCAAACCUUCGAUGGAUAGGGGUUCUGAGAGGAAGGUCCCCCACAUUGGAACUGAGACACGGUCCAAACUCCUACGGGAGGCAGCAGUGAGGAAUAUUGGUCAAUGGGCGCAGGCCUGAACCAGCCAAGUAGCGUGAAGGAUGACUGCCCUAUGGGUUGUAAACUUCUUUUAUAUGGGAAUAAAGUUUUCCACGUGUGGAAUUUUGUAUGUACCAUAUGAAUAAGGAUCGGCUAACUCCGUGCCAGCAGCCGCGGUAAUACGGAGGAUCCGAGCGUUAUCCGGAUUUAUUGGGUUUAAAGGGAGCGUAGGUGGACAGUUAAGUCAGUUGUGAAAGUUUGCGGCUCAACCGUAAAAUUGCAGUUGAUACUGGCUGUCUUGAGUACAGUAGAGGUGGGCGGAAUUCGUGGUGUAGCGGUGAAAUGCUUAGAAAUCACGAAGAACUCCGAUUGCGAAGGCAGCUCACUGGACUGCAACUGACACUGAUGCUCGAAAGUGUGGGUAUCAAACAGGAUUAGAUACCCUGGUAGUCCACACAGUAAACGAUGAAUACUCGCUGUUUGCGAUAUACAGUAAGCGGCCAAGCGAAAGCAUUAAGUAUUCCACCUGGGGAGUACGCCGGCAACGGUGAAACUCAAAGGAAUUGACGGGGGCCCGCACAAGCGGAGGAACAUGUGGUUUAAUUCGAUGAUACGCGAGGAACCUUACCCGGGCUUAAAUUGCAUUUGAAUAUAUUGGAAACAGUAUAGCCGUAAGGCAAAUGUGAAGGUGCUGCAUGGUUGUCGUCAGCUCGUGCCGUGAGGUGUCGGCUUAAGUGCCAUAACGAGCGCAACCCUUAUCUUUAGUUACUAACAGGUCAUGCUGAGGACUCUAGAGAGACUGCCGUCGUAAGAUGUGAGGAAGGUGGGGAUGACGUCAAAUCAGCACGGCCCUUACGUCCGGGGCUACACACGUGUUACAAUGGGGGGUACAGAAGGCAGCUACCUGGUGACAGGAUGCUAAUCCCAAAAGCCUCUCUCAGUUCGGAUCGAAGUCUGCAACCCGACUUCGUGAAGCUGGAUUCGCUAGUAAUCGCGCAUCAGCCAUGGCGCGGUGAAUACGUUCCCGGGCCU